rnacentral:rRNA from 1 species
UUGAAGGCUUGUUUGAAUGGUUUGACGGAGAAAUUUUAAAUAUUUCAAUUUAUAUUGAAAUUGAUAUUUAGGGUUCAGAAUCCUAUUAUAUUAAUUAGACGGAAAGACCCCGGGAUCUUUUAUUUUACCUGGGGCAGGUGUUAGUAUUGUACUAAUAUUUUGUUCCUUAUUUGGGUUAAUGGGUUAAGUUACCCCGGGGAUAACAGUGUAAUAGUUAAGUAGAGAUCUUAUCGAGUUAACUGUUUGCCACCUCGAUGUUGACUUAGGUUUAGCUUGGGCGUAAUAGUUUAGGUAUUGGGUCUGUUCGACCUUUAAAUCUCCAUGAGUUGAGUUAAGACCGGCGUGAGCCAGGUCGGUUCUUAUCUAUUGUUGAAACUUAUUAGUACGAAAGGACCAUAAGUUUUUUUAUUGAAUGCGUAGUUUUGUGCCUUAGUUUUGCAAAAGCUAAUGAGAAAAUUUCCGCAUUGUUUAACUAUGGCAAUAGAAAGUUUUAUUACAUUAAUUGCAUAAAUUAUUUUUAUGGUUUUUAGGGUAAAAUUUAUCUUUUUUAAUUAGCAGUUAAUUUUUUAUUGGAGUGUGAGCUUUUUGAGUAUGUAAUAUAAAAAGGGGAUAGGACACAGUGCCAGCAUCUGCGGUUAGUCUGUUUUCUUUGCUUUUAUGUGGAUUUUAAUUAAAUAUUAAUAUGUAAGUUUAGGUGAAAUUUACUUAUGUUGAAAUUAAGUAUUUAGAUAGUAGAAAAUGGUAAUUAAUGACAGGGAUUAGAUACCCCAUUAAUUUAUUAUAAUAUUUU